rnacentral:tmRNA from 1 species
GGGGCUGAUUCUAACCCAAGGUGCAUGCCGAGGGGCGGUUGGCCUCGUAAAAAGCCGCAAAAAAUAGUCGCAAACGACGAAAACUACGCUUUAGCAGCUUAAUAACCUGCUUAGAGCCCUCUCUCCCUAGCCUCCGCUCUUAGGACGGGGAUCAAGAGAGGUCAAACCCAAAAGAGAUCGCGUGGAAGCCCUGCCUGGGGUUGAAGCGUUAAAACUUAAUCAGGCUAGUUUGUUAGUGGCGUGUCCGUCCGCAGCUGGCAAGCGAAUGUAAAGACUGACUAAGCAUGUAGUACCGAGGAUGUAGGAAUUUCGGACGCGGGUUCAACUCCCGCCAGCUCCACCA